rnacentral:rRNA from 1 species
GCUGGCGGCAGGCUUACACAUGCAAGUCGAGCGGUAGCACAGGGGAGCUUGCUCCCCGGGCGACGACAGGCGGACGGGUGAGUAAUGUCUGGGAAACUGCCUGAUGGAGGGGGAUAACUACUGGAAACGGUAGCUAAUACCGCAUAACGUCGCAAGACCAAAGAGGGGGACCUUCGGGCCUCUUGCCAUCAGAUGUGCCCAGAUGGGAUUAGCUAGUAGGUGGGGUAAUGGCUCACCUAGGCGACGAUCCCUAGCUGGUCUGAGAGGAUGACCAGCCACACUGGAACUGAGACACGGUCCAGACUCCUACGGGAGGCAGCAGUGGGGAAUAUUGCACAAUGGGCGCAAGCCUGAUGCAGCCAUGCCGCGUGUGUGAAGAAGGCCUUCGGGUUGUAAAGCACUUUCAGCGAGGAGGAAGGUGGUGAACUUAAUACGUUCAUCAAUUGACGUUACUCGCAGAAGCCCGCACAAGCGGUGGAGCAUGUGGUUUAAUUCGAUGCAACGCGAAGAACCUUACCUACUCUUGACAUCCAGAGAACUUUCCAGAGAUGGAUUGGUGCCUUCGGGAACUCUGAGACAGGUGCUGCAUGGCUGUCGUCAGCUCGUGUUGUGAAAUGUUGGGUUAAGUCCCGCAACGAGCGCAACCCUUAUCCUUUGUUGCCAGCGGUUCGGCCGGGAACUCAAAGGAGACUGCCAGUGAUAAACUGGAGGAAGGUGGGGAUGACGUCAAGUCAUCAUGGCCCUUACGAGUAGGGCUACACACGUGCUACAAUGGCGUAUACAAAGAGAAGCGACCUCGCGAGAGCAAGCGGACCUCAUAAAGUACGUCGUAGUCCGGAUUGGAGUCUGCAACUCGACUCCAUGAAGUCGGAAUCGCUAGUAAUCGUAGAUCAGAAUGCUACGGUGAAUACGUUCCCGGGCCUUGUACACACCGCCCGUCACACCAUAGUAUGGGUUGCAAAAGAAGUAGGUAGCUUAACCUUCGGGAGGGCGCUUACCACUUGUGAUUACU